rnacentral:piRNA from 1 species
UGACGGAACUUGAGUCUAAGAGUGGC